UACUCAAGCGAAUUUGAAGCACUAUCACGCAGCAUAAUCAUCGUAUACGCAUGGUCACUAUAUUAUUUAAAAUAUUUUAAUAACGGCUGACUAUUGUUAGUUCCAAUUGAUCAGUCUUGAGUGUAAUGUGUUGAUGAUGAUUAUGAUAAUUAAAUAAAAUCAGGACCACUUUUUAUUGGUGGUUUAUACUGAGUACUGAUGAAUACCGGGAAUUGACGUAAUUUAUCAGCAGUACUAAAAGCACAAACGCGCGCACAAACCUGUAUUAAGUAAAUCCGAGUCCCUAGGAAGUAGGAAGCUAAAAAAAAAUGAGGCCACUGUAAGGUUAACUAAUUCCAAAAGCUACUGAUUACAGCUUUAAACAAUAUUAUUAUUUGUUGAAUAAAUAUAUAAGAGUUACAGUAAUUAUAUAAUUGAAUUUCAACGUCAAUAUAAUUAACGUUUGUAUUUAUUAUUAAUAUUAUUGUUAUUGCUAAUAACGAUAACGAUUAUUGUUGAUUACUAAUUAAUAAAUAAUUGUGUGUAUAAUUUAUGUAAAUAAUUUUGCGCGGUACUUGACUGACAGCUCCCUCGUCACAAAUUUAUACAAUUCUAUCGUCGAGAGUAUAACGCACUACACAACUAUAAUCAUAAACGAAGAGACGAAGAGACCAAAGCAACAAAAAAUCAAAGCACCACAGACCACAGAGUAUGACCCAAGAUGGCCGCCGAUAUUGAAACCUAGCACCCUCCUUUAGCUGUUUCUUACGCUACGGACUUGAGUCAACAUUUUUUCACGCUUUAUUGAGUUUGUAUUUUGCUUUAAACCCUGAGAAUUACGCUGUAGAGGUUGAGGCCCUCUAUCCCUUCUACUAAUUCCUGAUUGGUCGCCUGGGCUGGCUGCGAUGCUGCUGCUGAUCAACCAGACAAUGGAAUUGGAAAUGACAGGAACGCCACCAACGGAAAAAUGAGAACUUGGAAAAUUUUAUACCAAAAUUUCUCUCGCAUGUACUGUGUGGUAGGAUUAUAUACUUUAUAGUACGGGAUUUUAUGGAUUAAGAGCAUGCUUUACCGUUUUAUCAAUACUGUUACACGUGGGAAGCUUUUAGCUGCUCCGUUCUUCAGCGUUUCAUUUAUCAUUAUCGAAAUUCAAGUUUA